rnacentral:rRNA from 1 species
AGCGAACGCUGGCGGCAGGCCUAACACAUGCAAGUCGAACGGGCGUAGCAAUACGUCAGUGGCAGACGGGAGAGUAACACGUGGGAACGUGCCCUUUGGUUCGGAACAACCCAGGGAAACUUGGGCUAAUACCGGAUAAGCCCUAACGGGGAAAGAUUUAUCGCCAGAGGAUCGGCCCGCGUCUGAUUAGCUAGUUGGUGGGGUAAUGGCCCACCAAGGCGACGAUCAGUAGCUGGUCUGAGAGGAUGAUCAGCCUCACUGGGACUGAGACACGGCCCAAACGCCUACGGGAGGCAGCAGUGGGGAAUAUUGGAAAAUGGGCGAAAGCCUGAUCCAGCCAUGCCGCGUGGGUGAUGAAGGCCCUAGGGUUGUAAAGCCCUUUCGGCGGGGAAGAUAAUGACGGUACCCGCAGAAGAAGCCCCGGCUAACUUCGUGCCAGCAGCCGCCGUAAUAC